AUCGCUUCUCGGCUCAAUGAGCUAAGAUUGUGGUGUAAGACUUUUCUUAUCAGCUUAGUAUCUGAUACGUCCUCCAUGGGAGGGUCAGAAUAUUAACUUGAUUUUUGAGAUUUGGCAGAGGUCUGGAGCUUGCUUCGACUCAGCCACGAGUUAAUCCGACUUUGCAGUGCCGCUGGGAUUGGCCUGAUAAGU